GUUUAUUUAAAACAUGAUUGACAGAAUACAGACAAUUCUUCUGCACCAGUUUAGGUUCCUGUCAAGAUAAAACACCAACAGAAGCAGCUUGGGGAGGAAAGAGUUCAUUUCAACUUAAAUGUCUACAGCAUGGUCUAUCAUCGAAGGAAGCCAGGGCAGGAACUUAAGAAGUAAAAGGAGCAAAACCACAAAGACCCCGACGUACUCAAGCUGCAGACCAAGAAAAGGCAUUCUGAUACAUCUCAAUGUGGUUUGCAUUCUGAAUGUCUCCAGUGGUCCAUGUGUCAAAGGCUUGGUUGUCAGCCUGCCACCACUGCUACUGGAAGAUGGUAGAGUCUCUGGGGGCCGAGCCUGGUGGUGGGAGGCAUGCCCUUGCAACAUAGCCCUUUCUUUGUUUCCUAGCUGUCCCUAGGUGAACAGGUCUUCACGUGCUCCCACCAUAGUGUACGGUGGGUGCAACAACAGGCUCCGAACUGUGGGAUCACAGAUGGAAACCAUGAGUCAAAGAAGCCUUUUCCCGUUGAAAGUGUAUUUUCCUCAGGCAAGACACAUGGACUGACGUAGUGUAUCUCAGAGGACUGAAGAGAGAGAGCAGCCACUCUGGCCAGCUGAUGGUCCAGCACAGGACACACAAAGGGGGUCCUUUCAUGCAAAGUCAGCUUCCCACACCGCAGAAGUCCACACUUACCCGUGGGGGCAUCCAAGAGCUUGAGGCUCGGAGGAGGGAAUGCGCAAUUUACGUACACACAUGCGCAGGAGUAGGAUCACACAGUGUCAUGGAGCAACAGUCAGUACAGAUUACUACAAUGAAUGCCUCUCUGUGACGUAAGGAGAUCACUUCCAGAAAACAGAUAUUUCUGCACCCCAUGGCUGUUCAAUAUUCUUUGCAUCUGAAGGAAGCCAGAGCCCCAAUCGGAUCAUUGUAAUAUGGGGGUAGUUGUGAUUUCUGGUGCUAACAAGUGGGGAACAAGUGAGUGUCCUGACCAGGGCCUGGUGCUGCAGCAGAUUUGAACUUAGAUAUUGAAUGUAAAUAGAGGGGGUAAGAGACCCACAGCCCCAAGAUCUCCAGGUCCCUUCUCUUAACUGCAACAGUACCUCCCCUCUGGAGACAGAGACCCACAUCGGAGCACUGGACUGAGCUCCCAAGGUGCAGUUGAAGAGCAGAAGGAAGGAGAA